rnacentral:rRNA from 1 species
AUACGUAGGGGGCGAGCGUUAUCCGAAGUUACUGGGCGUAAAGCGCGCGUAGGCGGGCUAUUAAGUCGGAUGUGAAAUCUCCACGGCUCAACCGGGAAAUUGCAUCCGAAACUGGUAGCCUUGAGGUAUGGAGAGGGAAGUGGAAUUCCAGGUGUAGCGGUGAAAUGCGUAGAUAUCUGGAGGAACACCCGUGGCGAAGGCGGCUUCCUGGCCAUAUCCUGACGCUGAGGUGCGAAAGCCAGGGGAGCGAACGGGAUUAGAUACCCCGGUAGUCCUGGCCGUAAACGAUGGAUACUAGGUGUUAGUGGUAUCGACCCCACUAGUGCCGUAGCUAACGCAUUAAGUAUCCCGCCUGGGGAGUACGGCCGCAAGGUUGAA